CAAGCAGUGGAGCGUUUUGGGGUGGGGUGACUGCGUACCUUUUGUAUAAUGGGUCAGCGACUUAUAUUCUGUAGCAAGGUUAACCGGAUAGGGGAGCCGCAGGGAAACCGAGUCUUAACUGGGCGAAAUGAGUUGCAGGGUAUAGACCCGAAACCCGGUGAGCUAGCCAUGGGCAGGUUGAAGGUUGGGUAACACUAACUGGAGGACCGAACCGACUAAUGUUGAAAAAUUAGCGGAUGACUUGUGGCUGGGGGUGAAAGGCCAAUCAAACCGGGAGAUAGCUGGUUCUCCCCGAAAGCUAUUUAGGUAGCGCCUCGUGUAUUCAUCUUCGGGGGUAGAGCACUGUUUCGGCUAGGGGGCCAUCCCGGCUUACCAACCCGAUGCAAACUGCGAAUACCGAAGAAUGGUAUCACGGGAGACACACGGCGGGUGCUAACGUCCGUCGUGAAGAGGGAAACAACCCAGACCGCCAGCUAAGGUCCCAAAGUCAUGGUUAAGUGGGAAACGAUGUGGGAAGGCCCAGACAGCCAGGAUGUUGGCUUAGAAGCAGCCAUCAUUGAAAGAAAGCGUAAUAGCUCACUGGUCGAGUCGGCCUGCGCGGAAGAUGUAACGGGGCUAAACCAUGCACCGAAGCUGCGGCAGCGACACGUAAGUGUCGCUGGGUAGGGGAGCGUUCUGUAAGCCGUGGAAGGUGGCGCCGUGAGGCCUGCUGGAGGUAUCAGAAGUGCGAAUGCUGACAUAAGUAACGAUAAAGCGGGUGAAAAACCCGCUCGCCGGAAGACCAAGGGUUCCUGUCCAACGUUAAUCGGGGCAGGGUGAGUCGACCCCUAAGGUGAGGCUGAAAAGCGUAGCUGAUGGGAAACAGGUUAAUAUUCCUGUACUGAAUGUGACUGCGAAGGGGGGACGGAGAAGGCUAGGCCAUCCGGGCGACGGUUGUCCCGGUUUAAGCGGGUAGGUGGGAGGAGCAGGCAAAUCCGCUCUUCUGUGAACACUGAGGCGUGAUGACGAGCCGCUACGGCGGUGAAGUGGUUGAUGCCCGGCUUCCAGGAAAAGCCUCUAAGCAUCAGGUCAUAUUGAAUCGUACCCCAAACCGACACAGGUGGUCAGGUAGAGAAUACUCAGGCGCUUGAGAGAACUCGGGUGAAGGAACUAGGCAAAAUGGUGCCGUAACUUCGGGAGAAGGCACGCUGGCAUUAGGUGAAGGAGUUGACCUCUGGAGCUGAAGCCAGUCGCAGAGACCAGCUGGCUGCAACUGUUUAUUAAAAACACAGCACUGUGCAAACACGAAAGUGGACGUAUACGGUGUGACGCCUGCCCGGUGCUGGAAGGUUAAUUGAUGGGGUUAGCCGCAAGGCGACGCUCUUGAUCGAAGCCCCAGUAAACGGCGGCCGUAACUAUAACGGUCCUAAGGUAGCGAAAUUCCUUGUCGGGUAAGUUCCGACCUGCACGAAUGGCGUAAUGAUGGCCAGGCUGUCUCCACCCGAGACUCAGUGAAAUUGAACUCGCUGUGAAGAUGCAGUGUUCCCGCGGCAAGACGGAAAGACCCCGUGAACCUUUACUAUAGCUUGACACUGAACAUGGAGCCUUGAUGUGUAGGAUAGGUGGGAGGCUAGGAAGUGUGGACGCCAGUCUGCAUGGAGCCGACCUUGAAAUACCACCCUUGAAUGUUCGAUGUUCUCACUUGGGCCCGUGAACCGGGCUGAGGACAGUGUCUGGUGGGUAGUUUGACUGGGGCGGUCUCCUCCCAAAGAGUAACGGAGGAGCACGAAGGUUGGCUAAUCACGGUCGGACAUCGUGAGGUUAGUGCAAAGGCAUAAGCUGGCUUGACUGCGAGAGUGACGGCUCGAGCAGGUACGAAAGUAGGUCUUAGUGAUCCGGUGGUUCUGAAUGGAAGGGCCAUCGCUCAACGGAUAAAAGGUACUCCGGGGAUAACAGGCUGAUACCGCCCAAGAGUUCAUAUCGACGGCGGUGUUUGGCACCUCGAUGUCGGCUCAUCACAUCCUGGGGCUGAAGUGGGUCCCAAGGGUAUGGCUGUUCGCCAUUUAAAGUGGUACGCGAGCUGGGUUUAGAACGUCGUGAGACAGUUCGGUCCCUAUCUGCCGUGGGCGUAGGAAGAUUGAAAGGGGCUGCUCCUAGUACGAGAGGACCGGAGUGGACGCACCGCUGGUGUACGGGUUGUCAUGCCAAUGGCAUAGCCCGGUAGCUAAGUGCGGGAGAGAUAACCGCUGAAAGCAUCUAAGCGGGAAACUUGCCUUGAGAUGAGUCUUCCCUUGACUUGAGUCACGGAAGGAACGUUUAAGACGAAGACGUGGAUAGGCUGGGUGUGUAAGUGCAGCGAUGCAUUGAGCUGACCAGUACUAAUGAACCGAGCGGCUUAACCUU
rnacentral:rRNA from 1 species